UACGUAGGGUGCGAGCGUUGUCCGGAAUUAUUGGGCGUAAAGGGCUCGUAGGCGGUUUGUCGCGUCGGGAGUGAAAACUCAGGGCUUAACCCUGAGCCUGCUUCCGAUACGGGCAGACUAGAGGUAUGCAGGGGAGAACGGAAUUCCUGGUGUAGCGGUGAAAUGCGCAGAUAUCAGGAGGAACACCGGUGGCGAAGGCGGUUCUCUGGGCAUUACCUGACGCUGAGGUGCGAAAGCAUGGGGAGCAAACAGG
rnacentral:rRNA from 1 species